GUUUCCUUACAGUUCAUCCACACUCCAAAAAGAAAUUUGUUGAGACUCAGACAGGAGGAAGUCCUGCUUCUUUUCAUGUUUGUCAGGACUACAAAGUGGUCUUGGCCCUGGCAUGAGAAAGCUUGAAUUAUAUGGGAUUUUUGAUUCCCACAGCUUCAGUCACUGGUGGAGUCUCUGCUCUGCCCACACAGGGAAGGUUUUAACCCAAGAUCUAUAAUCCUGUGCCAUAGCGUCAGCCUCAGGAAACAGAUGCAACAGUUAAGCCACAGUCAUAGACAAGGGGCACAGGAGCUAGUUCGGUCUUGGGUUCAUCUGUGGUGAGUGAGGACAAUUGGGCCAGUAACACUGUUCCCCCAAAUCUCCAAGCAGGCACCAUACAUCUGCUGGCACACAUCAUUUCUACCCUUGGAAAGAGAUGGGGAGAGACUGGCCCAGGGUUCCUUGAAUCUCUGAGGAAGAAGCCAGGCUGCUUGUGCAGAGGACAGUGCUGCUGCUUCCUCUGCUCCUGGCUGGGGACAGCCCUGCCCAUCCUUAAGCUAAUUAGAGCUUCUGCUUGUUAUAGCAGUGUGGGUUUUGACAAGGUCAUAAAUCAAUCACUGUCCUAGGAAUAUGAACUGCCAUAAUUGUGCACUGUCU
rnacentral:lncRNA from 14 species